UUACAUGAACAACUUUUUGCUCUGUUUUACAUAAUUUGAUAUAUUGUACAGCUUUUGGUGAUUCGUUUCAUUUAAUUCAGCGUUCCGUACCAGAUCACUUAAUUUACGGAUUGAUUUAUUAAUUGAUUUAUGUUUUAUAUCUUACAGUGCAGGAAGAAUAAUGACCAUUCAUGCAUCCUGUUUUAUUAAGAAUUGUUUAAGCUCAAAGUUUAUAAUACAUCACUUUCCAAACCCAUGUAAACAACCAGAAGGAUAUAGAGAAAUGGGUUAACAUGUAUGGUAAUUAAAUACCACUAAUAGAUAUUGGUGGCAAUGAAAAAGCGGACAAGCUGGCCAAAGAGGCAACAAAAACGCCUUUUAUUGGACCCCAACCUGGCUGUGGACUACAAAAAAGCAACUUAAAGUAGGCAAUCAAUAGUUGGGAGGCCUCAAAGGUAGCCUUACACUGGAAAGAACUUACAGGUCAAAGAAGACCUUGGAGCGAUACUAAGGUUCAUCAAGGACAUACAUUUGCCCUAAACCUUUGAAGGGCUUAAGUUACAAUAGAUCUUAUAGGUUGCUGUGAUGAGAGGGGCCACUCCCCCACCCCAGCAGCAAUAAUAAUAAUAACGUUUAUGGUAAUAAAACUCCUUUUGCAUUGAAUUUAAAUAAACUGCAUUGCAAAAUGACUGAUCAUCAUAAGCAAUGUAAAAGAAGAAAUUUUAACAAGCAGUAAACUAUUUUGCUACUUUAUUCUGAAUGAUUUUAUGAAAACAGAUAUAUGUUACUUGAUACAAAAAUUGAAAGCUGUGAUUAACACAAUAUUAAGAUAUUCUUAAAACAUGGGUUGAAAUGCAAAUAAUUCCUGAUUUAAUAAAAAAAUGUAUUGUUAUAUUGGAAAAUGGAAAAUAAUAAUAUAAAGCAUAACUGUAGUUCAGAUAAUCCAUUGCUUUCAAAUACCAAUAAAGUUUAUUGUUGAAGUUACAUUGAUAUAAAGUUUUGCAUCUUCCACUUUAUUGUUGCUAAUACAAUCCCAUACAAUUAGGUUGGAUCUUAUCUUAAAUGUAUUUAUUACAACAUUAAAUAAAGUCCAUACAGUCUGAAAGGAAGAAGUAUAAACCACAAUAAAUGUAAUUAUUAAAUUCAUAUCUUACAAACUGAAUUGUUAAACUGUUAAUUAUAAAUAUUAUGAUGUUGAAAAUGUCUUGGAAGUUUGAGAACGGAAUAUAUAUGAAAUAUGAACAUAUAACUGAUCUUUUGAAGCAAUAAGUUUCCUAUUCUACAGAUGUUGAUUUCUGCCACUUUUAACCUUAUAAAAAAGACAAGCUAAAAUUAAAAGUUUUGGUUCUUCAAAUGUAAUUUGGGUGGUCUAUGUUAUCAGUUUACUAUUUCAAUUUUUCAAAAAUAUACCUUCCUUAGAU